UACGUAGGGGGCAAGCGUUGUCCGGAUUUAUUGGGCGUAAAGAGCGUGUAGGCGGCCAUACAGGUCCGUUGUGAAAACUGGAGGCUUAACCUCCAGACGUCGAUGGAAACCGUAUGGCUAGAGUCCGGAAGAGGAGAGUGGAAUUCCUGGUGUAGCGGUGAAAUGCGCAGAUAUCAGGAAGAACACCCGUGGCGAAGGCGGUUCUCUGGGCCUUACCUGACGCUGAGGAGCGAAAGCGUGGGGAGCAAACAGG
rnacentral:rRNA from 1 species